rnacentral:lncRNA from 1 species
AAAUCCCAAACCGUAAAUCAUAAAAGGAUCAGAUACCAAAGACAAUGACAAGACCCAAGAUUUGUUUUACUCUAAAGUGAGAAAUUAUCCUCAACAAAAAAACAUUUCACAGUGAGAAUCAGAAGAAUAUUUGCAUCAGGCAACGCUGGGUGCUAGAUAUUUAUUUUUUUCUUUUUCACAUGAACUGUAAAAACUUACCACAAAAGAUUGAUCUCCACAACUGCUUAUACUCUAGGAUUAUUAUACAUUGCACUGUUCUUGCUAAUACUCCAAAGACAUGUAGAAAAUAGAAAGGUAAGUUUGCAGGGGGAAACAAGAACAAUGGAAUGAAGAAGCAAACAGGGAGUUAAAAUAACUCCCUGGAAUAGUAGAAUCAGGAAAGCAAAGGCAAAGCAUUAAAGACUAAGGGCUGCAUGACUCCUAAGGGGAAAAUGCAUGUAUUUCUUUUAUUUUGCACUGAGAUUAAAUUUGCUGAUUUUUUUUU